rnacentral:rRNA from 1 species
UACGUAGGGGGCAAGCGUUGUCCGGAAUCAUUGGGCGUAAAGAGCGUGUAGGCGGCCCGAUAAGUCCGCUGUGAAAGUCCAGGGCUCAACCCUGGAAUGCCGGUGGAUACUGUCGGGCUCGAAUCCGGAAGAGGUGAGUGGAAGUUCCUGGUGUAGCGGUGAAAUGCGCAGAUAUCGGGAGGAACACCAGUGGCGAAGGCGGCGACCUGGGCCAAUAUUGACGCUGAGGUGCGAAAGCGUGGGGAGCAAACAGG